rnacentral:rRNA from 1 species
UGCCGGCGUGCUUAACACAUGCAAGUCGAACGGUGAAGCCAAGCUUGCUUGGUGGAUCAGUGGCGAACGGGUGAGUAACACGUGAGCAACCUGCCCUGGACUCUGGGAUAAGCGCUGGAAACGGCGUCUAAUACUGGAUAUGAGACGUGAUCGCAUGGUCGUGUUUGGAAAGAUUUUUCGGUCUGGGAUGGGCUCGCGGCCUAUCAGCUUGUUGGUGAGGUAAUGGCUCACCAAGGCGUCGACGGGUAGCCGGCCUGAGAGGGUGACCGGCCACACUGGGACUGAGACACGGCCCAGACUCCUACGGGAGGCAGCAGUGGGGAAUAUUGCACAAUGGGCGGAAGCCUGAUGCAGCAACGCCGCGUGAGGGAUGACGGCCUUCGGGUUGUAAACCUCUUUUAGCAGGGAAGAAGCGAAAGUGACGGUACCUGCAGAAAAAGCGCCGGCUAACUACGUGCCAGCAGCCGCGGUAAUACGUAGGGCGCAAGCGUUAUCCGGAAUUAUUGGGCGUAAAGAGCUCGUAGGCGGUUUGUCGCGUCUGCUGUGAAAUCCCGAGG